rnacentral:rRNA from 1 species
UAGGGAAUCUUCGGCAAUGGACGAAAGUCUGACCGAGCAACGCCGCGUGAGUGAAGAAGGUUUUCGGAUCGUAAAACUCUGUUGUUAGAGAAGAACAAGGACGUUAGUAACUGAACGUCCCCUGACGGUAUCUAACCAGAAAGCCACGGCUAACUACGUGCCAGCAGCCGCGGUAAUACGUAGGUGGCAAGCGUUGUCCGGGUUUAUUGGGCGUAAAGCGAGCGCAGGCGGUUUCUUAAGUCUGAUGUGAAAGCCCCCGGCUCAACCGGGGAGGGUCAUUGGAAACUGGGAGACUUGGGUGCAGAAGAGGAGAGUGGAAUUCCAUGUGUAGCGGUGAAAUGCGUAGAUAUAUGGAGGAACACCAGUGGCGAAGGCGGCUCUCUGGUCUGUAACUGACGCUGAGGCUAGAAAGCGUGGGGAGCAAACAGG